rnacentral:rRNA from 1 species
GGACUACCGGGGUAUCUAAUCCUGUUCGCUCCCCACGCUUUCGCGUCUCAGCGUCAGUACCGUACUAGAGAGCCGCCUUAGCCACGGGUGUUCUUCCCGAUAUCUGCGCAUUUCACCGCUACACCGGGAAUUCCACUCUCCUCUUCCGGACUCUAGCCAUACGGUUUCCACCGACAGCUCGAGGUUGAGCCUCGAGUUUUCACAGCAGACCUGUAUGGCCGCCUACACGCUCUUUACGCCCAAUAAAUCCGGACAACGCUUGCCCCCUACGUAUUACCGCGGCUGCUGGCAC